UUCAAAUGAUACUUCUUCUAACAUUGCUGCACUAUUGGCAACAGUGCUGCAAUGUUAGAAGAAGUAUCAUUUGGAA
rnacentral:pre_miRNA from 1 species